AAAUAUAAACUCAUCCACUGCCACUAGUAUAUAAAAACUUAGGUGUUCUUAUUAUGCUACAAAAGAACCCGAUCGAGGAACAAAAACGGAUAAUAUCCACUGUUCUGCCUACUAACAGAAAACCUAGACGAGAAGGGUUAUAUGAAUCAGGUACAUGAUGGCGCACAAAGUAUAGAAAGUAAAGAAUGAAACUUGUAUCCUUGAAAAAAGUUGACAAGGAUCGCAUGCACACCAGAAGAUUGCAACCGUAAACCGCUUCUUGAGAAUUGGAAAAACGUCAAGAGGCUUCCGCUUACAAUCUCACGUUCUUCCUCGUCGAUAGUGGCCAUUUUCUUCACGGGCCGCCUGAUGACAGAGAUAAAUUGUGGCGGAGCAACCUCUGUCACGACCUUCAUUUUCGGUACAUUAGUCAUUGCAGAUUUGUGAGACUGAAUGAAAAACUGGUGGAAGCUAGAACUGAUGGAAUUUUAAGACUUGCAAGGAUAGUAAGGAACGAUUGUUAAAGGUUUAUUUAUAGGGCGAGAAAGCAGAAUUACCUGUUUCAUACGUUGCUGCUGCAGAGUGAUUAAAUGUACUUGCAGCAGCCAGCUUUGCCUUUGCGAUUCCAAUUGAUACACGUAUACUAGUCAAUGAAAAAGAAGGGCCCAUAGAUCUUCUGUGACUGGAUUUGAUUCAGUCAUGUGCUGGUUUUCUUUUCAUCAUAUGCAAAAUGUUGAGAUUAAAUCAGUAGAAACUUCUGUACAGCAGAUAUUUAAUAUACACAGUACCGUUUAAAAUAGAGGCCACCAAUGCAUAGAAGCCUUUUGUGCUAAUCAUUCAUAAGAACCAAGUGAUGAUAGCAACUCGGUACGAUACAAGUUCAAAGAAAUUCACGGUUCUACUUGUGUCCACGUACAACUUUUUGUGAGAACCAUGAGAGACCAAUUGACCGAGCUUCUGGUCCCUAUUCAUUAGUGAUGAGAGUUGAUCUGCUUUACCAGCUAACCUCAGCUUGCUUACCAAUUGAAUUGGUGCGCAUAAUCUUCACGUUCUGUUUCGGGUUGUAAUUUCGAUUGAGAUAUUAGAAAGUACACGUUGAAAGGGCAAUAUUAAUUUUCGCAACUUCCUCCACCUAUACAUUGCUGCCAUUUAGCCACCUUCGUAUCAUGCAAUAAAUAUUAUAUACAACUCUGCCUUAUUAAUAAAAUUAAAAGAUAAGUAACAUGAAUGCAAAUAAAAAGUGGAUUGCAAUAUCCGAGUCCGCCUCUUUAGCAACACUAAAUUAAGUUUCCACAUAGCCCAAGACAAGUUCUCUGCUUCAUGAUUGAUUUAAAUUGCUUCUACUUGAUCAUUAACACUCACUUGGCUUGAACAAAGGCGAAAAUAUAAGGUAAAUAAGAGGUAGCACAGAAUGAUGGUGACAGCAAAUUAAGAAGGUAGCAGAGAAUGAUGGAGGUGGUGACAGCGAAGAAAUUGACAGCAUAAAUUUGAUAAAGUUUGUAAAGAAUGCGAAUGGAAGCAGGCAUGACCUGUAAUAUGAAUGAGCUCUGUUUGAACUACUGAAAUGGGAUGGAAUGUAAAUUGUGCUAGAACCCCACUGAAAAUAGCUAAAAGUUCCUUCUGUUCCCUCCUAAUUUGAAUCCUUCCAACCAAAUUGUGUGCGUGGGUAACUUGGUGAUAUUAUCAUUCAGAAAGUAUUUCAUAUACGAAGAAACAAAAGAUCCCAAGUCGCCAAUCUAAACUGAGAACACUUAAAGUGUGGAAGGAAUGGCGAUCUCUUUCCCCUGCAUUCUCGAUUUUCAACUACACAAAUAAAUAAACAAAGUACCACGUAAAUCGGAGCUUAGCCCUGCUUCUGAAUAUGUCAUUUCCCCACUUGCAACUGGUGGGAAAAUUAGUAUCUAUUCCGCUGUUUCCGCAAGCAACCUCUAAUAUGGUCAUUCCUCCCUUUCUUCUAUUUUUCAAAAAAGACAGGUUUUUACUCCUUUUCGAGCCCUUCCUGCGUGCCACAAAUGACACUUCUAUCCGUUAAGCGACGGCCCUUCCACUCGAAGACCUCACGAACCAAGUGCUACUGUCACAUUGAAAAAGUCCACCGAUAAUUACAUGCAGCCUACCACUGCUGCUGAUGUGGGUUCCACGUGUAACUGGUGUGGAACUAUUAAAGUCUACUUUUAUAGCCUCUGCAAACAUCAAUUAAUAUUAGCCAUUCCCGCGGACCUACCACAAGAGAGGGAGAGUAUAAUCACAAAAAAAAUCAAAAAUAUUUCUUAAAAUGGAUAUGAUUAUAACUAGCAUCAUUAUGUAACAGAUCAUAAGAACAUAACCUUUUUUCCCGAAUGCAUUCUAUGGUUUCAUCUUUCAUGAGCUAGCUAAAUGAUUACAAGCUUAAAUUUAAGAUUAAUCAUCAAAUAGAGCAACGAUUAUUCUAUAGGAAUUUAAAUUACUAACCACACUGCUUGCAGUUAUACCUGAUUCAGAUAUCUAGCAACUAACCAAAUGGUUCUGAAGUGUUUGUACAAACCUCAACAGUCAACUUCUGUUUGAGUACCUGCCACACAUAAAAUACGAUGGUAACACAAGUAUUUGCGGACAUCAUGUCAAGAUGUUUCAUUUCAAAAAACUUACAACUUUAAAGUGUUCCAACUCUUUCUUUGUUUGAACCUUUGCAUCUAUCAUAUCUGCAGACUGUAGAGACUGGUUUUUGAUCUCCUAAUGAGCCCAAAUACACAAGAACCGGUCACCAAUGCACAAAAGACAGAGAAUAUUACAAAGCAAUAUUAUCAUCAUACCAACAAUUCAGGGAGCAAUAUCAGCACACCGACAGAUUUAAGGAGCAAUAUCAUCACUUUGUUAGUGUUUUGCUAAUUAAGUCUUUGUACAUAUUAAUGCUAAGACAACAAUAAAGGACAAACAACCAUCUGUUACACAAGCACUACAGAUAACGAUGUGUUACACAAGCACCAUAUGCGUGGACAAAUAUCUAUUGUACUAUUGAAGCAGAAACAUUAAAAAUUUUGGUCGGUCUGUCAGUUGGAAGGUAUUGGGCCGGUACAGGAGCCUCUUUAUUUUAAAACCUAUUUAAUGUGUCUACUUAUUUAUAUUUUUAAAAUAAAUAUUCCCAUUAAAACAUACUUAAGCACUCUAACUCAAACACAUCACUAAGGCCCUACUUAUUUUUACGCAUAUAAUUAUGAAAUACUUAUUUUGACGGGUCUAGUGAAAACAUAUUAAUUUAGACACAUCUAUAGGCCUACUACUUCUGUACCUAUUUUAACAUGCCUGAUUAUUUAAAAAAUCUAUUUUUAUUAAAAGACACGUACUAUUCUAAUACACCAUAUCUCUUGAACAUAAUAAAUACAACUAAAAAAAUAAAUAUCAAAUAAAUAAUAAAAGAACAAAUAUCAAAAGUAACCCUUGCAACGGGAUUCAGAUAUAAGCUAGUGUAAUACUGUAAAGCAGGAAAGUAAUAAUUAAUUUCAAUUUUUUUAAGGAGAUCAGGCUUCGUACGGGACAUGAGGGACAUAAGCUAGCAUAAUAUAAGCAGAAAAACAUUGAUAACUAUUUCAAGUUUUUAAGGAGAUCAGUCAUCUUACCAGUUUUAAACCAUCAUGGCAAUGUGAAAGUUCUAUGUCUUCAACGUUUAUGGGCAUGGAUUGCGUUAUUAGUGCUGAUAAACGCAAAAUUAUACAAAGCACUCUAAACUUCUCUGCUGCCUGAAAAUAUUGUCAAAGACGGCAAAAAUGAGAGGUUCAGUUUCUGCUGGAUAGUUUUAUUACUAAAUAUUCACUAAAAAAACAUUGUAUAUACCUCAUUUGUAAAUCCUUCAAGAGAAUUAUGACCACGUUUUGGAAAUUUCUUUCUGUGAUGCCUCGAAAGUAAUGCAAUUAACUGGAAACUAACAAUAUCAAAAUCAACACAAACAAUCAUCCUAAUAUUCCAUCAACAUUUAUUUUAAUUUGUCUGUUUUAAUAUUUUGAAUAGAAGUGCCGGAGUACAAGUUGGACAUAAUACCUUAAUCUCUUCGGUGUUAUAUCCAUGAAGUUGCCCACCAUUCUGUUCAAUAAGAACGAACUCAGUCAAGAGAAAAUUAAUGAGUUAUACAUCUUUCUGGACUCCUGUGUUUAAGCAUCGUAACAUUAAAAAGUAAGUGAUUUAAUAAAUACUGUAUAGUAGCAGGUCAAAAUGUUGGACAGUCUGUGAAAAAACCAACUCAUUUCCAGUUCGCUUUAUGAUUGCUUACCAUGAUUAUUUGGUAAGAACGUUUAUGGUACCCCUUUUUCCCGGUGAACUGCCCUAUUGUGUGAAGCAAACAAGCAGCUUCAAGAUAUUCAAGAUCCUUGUCAUUUAAGGAAGCAUCACCUACUUCAGUCAGUUUCUUCAAACCUUCAAAGAUUUCCUGCAUAAAAUUAAUAUUAAGAUUGCAUCUAAAGCAACUUGGUCUAGUAAGAACCAGAAACUAAUAAAUUUCAAUAACGAUUGAAAUGGACUACACACUUUUGCAAUAGCUGCACAUAACGCAGCACACUUCAUCCUCUCCUUGUUAUUAAACCUCGUAGCAAGCUGCAUAACAGACCUCCACCUCACAUUAGCAUUUAAAUCAUAACCUUCAAAAACCUCAGCCAACAUCUCCGCAACCACACCUUCUCCUAAAGCAUACCCCGACACCUCCAUUUCCUCAAUCCCAAGCAACCCAAAAAUCUCCUCCAACAAAACCGCACCGGCGACAAUAAACCCCGACCGCCUCUUGAAAAACACAUCUCUCACCCCCUCCACCUCACCCCCCAGCAAACUCCCAACCACACCCCUCAACUCCUCCUUACUAAACCUCCACUCCCUCCUAAACUCAUCAAACUCCGCAAACACAUCACUCACCUCACUACCAUACCUACAAAACACGGCCUUCUCAAUCGCCUUAAUUGUCCCCGAUGAUCCAAUCACAACAUCAAAACCGUACCGCUUAACAACCUCGACUAAUCCAGACUCACGAACAACACCUCUAACAUAAUCGCGUAAACUAGCAACAUCAUCAACACUCCCAAACCGCUGACUCAAAGUCACGUGACCUAACUUCAACGAAGUCGAAAAAUGAACACAAUCCGAUUCAGCAAUAACAAACUCAGUUGAUCCACCACCAAUAUCAAUAACCAAUACAGACUUGCUAUUUACAGGAUAAAAUUGUCGAAUACCUCGGUAAAUAAGCAGCGCCUCUUCUUGUCCAGUCAGCACUUGCACCUGUAACCCUAGGGUUUGGUGGAGGUGAUUGAGUAAAAGUGCUUGAUCAGGUGACUCACGGACGGCUGACGUGGCGACGAUGCGGUAAUUGGACGGUGGGAUGUGUUUAGAGUCGAUGAUUUGCUUGAAUUGGCGGAGAGAGGCAGCGGUGGUGGCGGCGGAGAGGGGGUGGAUGAGAGGGUGUUUGAGACGGUCGACGGUGAGGAAACGGCCGGUGGUGGGAUCGGCGCGGAUCACGAGGAGUUUGAAUGAGUUAGUUCCCAUGUCAAUUGCUGCGAACAGGUUCGUGUUUGGGGGUGUGCUUGCCAUUGUUUUCAACAAAUUGAAAUAUUCAAGUAAAUUGCUUUUUAUAGUUGGUCAAGUAGACAAUAGUUGCUGCUUUUCUACAAGAUGAGCUGGUCCCGGCAAUCGUAUGCCUGGAACGUCUUAUCAGCAUACGAUUGUCCGGAUACUUGCUCGUUCAAAAUUAAUUAUCUUUAUUUUGGUGUUCGUGCGAUUAUCCGGGGACCAGCUCUUGUUUAAUAUUAAUUAUUUUUAAGUAAGAAUUUCCGCGUAUAUAUUGUGUGAAUUUGAUUUCGAUGGGAAAACUAAUUUUGCAAGAAUGAUUAAAAACAUCAGUCAUCGCUACUAUGAAUGUUGAAGUUUGAAGGUGUGUAAUACGAAUCUUGUCACUUUUUGUUGGAGAUUGCAGACAAGCUGAAUUGCUCAAGAUGAUGGGAUAUCUCUUGGAUACCUGGUGAUUAUGUAAAAGUGGUGGUGUUUCCAGAUUUUUUGUCUUCGUAAAUAAAUUGUGGCGAACAAUUCUGUAUGUCCAAAUGUUGUGUUUCGGGCAAAUGGGCAAAUUAGAACCCAAAUGUCAGAAAACCAGGCUAAAUGAUUGUCAGCAUAAUGGACUUAUCUUGGAGGCUUCAGAGGGAGAUUAAAGAGAAGACCGAAGACAGCCAAGAAGCUUGCAACUCAUUGUACGUGGGAGAUCUAAAAUGAGCUCAAGUGGAAAUCCACGCAGAUUCAACUCCAUGCCUGCAAGCAUUGAUUUUCAAUAGAUUACAGAUGCAAAGUGCUGAUUUCUUUUUCUGCUGCAGUUCAGGGACAUGUAUAAGGGAAGAACAGACGGAUCUCAUCCCUGAGCAGGAGGAACCGGGAAUAGAAAUAAAUUGGGGCUAAAAUUUUGAAUAAUAGUUUUUACUGAUUAUUAGAGAUUAGUCACGGCUCAUAUGAAGGAAUAUAUAAAUUUUAAGAACAAAGGAUGACUAAUAUUUAAAAAGAUCAUUGAUUUUUCAACUGAACCGGGACUUCAGCCUGGGUUAGCCUCCCACUGAUUCACCAAUUCUUUUUUUAAAAAGUUCAUUGGUUUUUUCGUCUGAGCGGGACUUCAGGCUGGGUUAGCCUCCCACUGAUUCGCCAAACGUCCCCGAGAGACUCGACAAGAAAACUAAAAGGUGGAAAUUGUGCAAGACUCUGGUGCAUCUAAAAACCUGAUAUAGCAUAACAAUAACAAGAUCUACGGAUCGGUAUCUUUGGGUUCCUUGAUACAUAUUGCAAGGCGUAAUUAGAUUUACCAGAGAAACAUUGAUUCAUCAGAAGUAUUUAGAAGAUGUUAAUGUGACGAGCUAUUGAGCUCUAUAUUCAUGUCCAAAUUUGCAUGCCAUCCGAUUUAUCGUCCUGCUCUAUGUCCAUCAUUAGCAUCAUGUUUUCUGACUACACCGUGACUGUUUAAAAUGUAAAUCAUGUUCAUGUCCCUGUGCUUGCUGAAGCAAGCAAAAAGAACAUCUGCAAAGUAAGGGAAGUUCUACAUGCUGUAACCUGUAAGUAAUGCAAGGGUAGUUGGUCCACAAAUGCCACCUCGCACAGUUCAUCUCAUUGUCGAGUUUUCACUCCAGUAAGAAAUACUUUGAUAUCGACAACUUUAAAAGAGAGAAUGCUACCAAUGCAACAUCUGUAUACAAAUAAAAGCAGCAGAAAUUCACAACUGCCAGAAGAGGCAAUUCUAUCAUCUGGUUGAGACCGCGGACUUGUUUUAAAACAAAUACCUAACUGAUAGUGCACAUGUAUCUCCUAAAAAGAUACUAUUGCGAUCUAGUUCUUCUGAUGGCUUGUGUAAACUUCAAAGUUACAAAACUAAUUUUCUUAACAAGUUCUCUCCUAGCUUCUGUCUAAUAUAGUGUAAUAAUUUUCAAGUGUGAUAAAAAGAACUGUUCUAUUAGGUAAGCAUCAACGUAAAACUUAUCAGGUAAAGGAAAUUUUGAUAAAUUUUCCAUGGACAUCAACGUAAAACGUAUGCUUUCAAUCUAAUUGUAUUGUUCAGAACAAAUAGUAAUCAUAAUAUACAUCCCAUCUGUCCCUCGGUGUGCAUUUGUAUACCUUCAAUAAUAUAAAUGCCAAUUGUCUCUCAGAGCGUGCAUUUGUAUACCUUCAAUGGCAGGUCUGUUUUCUAAUAUCUUGGUAUAAAGCUCUUACACAGUCUACAUUGAUGUACAAAAUGUCUUAAAAUUAAACACAGAUAUGCUAUCUGAGCUUGUUCAACCUGAAGAACAAAACAAAACAAAACAUUAGAACAGCAUUACAAAGCCCUCGUGUACGCAGUAAUGUAUUUUAAGGUGGUCACUGUGACAGAUCAGUGCACAUACCGGCCAAGUGUUAAUUCCCACAAUCUUUUCCAUACACUCAUCUGUUGAACAGAACUUUCCGAGGGUAAAUGCUUCAUCAACCUUUCAACCAAGGGGCCCCUCUCAUGAACAACUUUGAUCGAUUCUGAGAGUCUAUUAAGUAGAUUUACAAGUGCAAUCACUUCAUUUCUAUGCAACUGUAGCUGCAAUACCAAUAGCACAAAAAUUGACAUAUUUGAUGGGAAGUGUUGUAAGUUCACACGUAACUCUACAAUUUCAGAACCAAUGCUUUACAUAACUUGCCAGCAGAAGAUAUCCAAAAACCAUAAAUCAAAACUCACCCGUUGAGCUGGGUCAUUUUCAUUGUUGACUGAAAAGAGUAUAUUUAAAGCAGUCCCCAAACCAAGAACCUGUAGCUUUCCCCAAAGGCGACACUUCUCACAUCCUACACAGUCCAUCAGGGCACUACAACAAGAGAAGCCAUAAUUACAAGAAGUUUGACAUAUAAUACCUAAAAAGAACCGUAAACAGACACGCAACAAGUUGGUAUCAUAUUAAGCAUAUAGCGUAUCACAGCUGACAUAUUAUUUUCUGAGUUUCUGUAUAAUUAAAUAUCAAUAUAACGAGUAUGAAUUUGUUCAGCAGUUAGUUAACAUGUUUACAGAGAGUUAUUAAUUUGUUUCUGGUAUUAGAUAAGAACCUAAUAUUUCUGAAUUGGUUCUGAAUCUGCUGCUUUAGUUCAGGGCCAUUUUGUCCUUGCCACAACUUGGCCUCAUCAAAUGGCAAUGGACAUGCAGCUUGCAAUUUUGGAUUGUUAAGUAGCUGAUGCAUUAAGGACUGUGCUUUAACAUCCUCAGCAUGGUUGCCAGAAUCAUACUCAGCCUGCUCCAAGUAAUCUGAUGCCUACAAAAGUUAACAAAAGAAGUAAAUGAUUUUUGAAAAUUUGAUCUGUACAUAUGUAUAUAUGAAAUUCUGAAAUAAGAAUAACAUGCAGUAUUACUCACUUUCGUUACAGCUCUGAGAACAAAUAGGAAAGUGAAAUACAGGUUUCUGACACGAUCAGGAUAUCUCAAAAUACGAUUAUACAUCAAUUCGAGAUUCUCACCCCACUGAAAUUGCAUCAAAGAAGUCAUCAAAAAUCAAGUUGAUAUACUGAUGAACAGUAUAAUUAUGCCUAAUUGGCAAAAAAAUCAGAUUGUCCCACUUAGAAUGAAGUGUGGUCAUAGCCAUAAGAUAAUCAAAACUCUCAACAAAUUCAGUACGACACAGCAUUUUGCAUUGUUUAAAAUGUCGGUUUCCGCUGACCUAUUUUUAAAAACUUAAUAAUAUACUGAUAUGAUAUAUACAAAGUGUAAAAGUACAUAUAACACUAGUGAAAACAAACCAUAUUGGUCUUUUCGUCAAGAAGAUAAUCAGCUGCAAUGUGAAUUGAGAUUGAGGAGUGAAGGCCUGAUAUCAAUUUGUAUAAGACUUUCUUUUCCUGGCAAAUCUCGCCAGAUCUAUCUGCAAACAUAAAAUAAUGUCUUUAGCAAUAAUAUAAUAUAUGGUUUAUUCGAAUUAGAAAGUAGGGGAGGGGAAAUCAACCAGCUAUACUUCACUCUCUUUGUUCCCAAACAACCAUCAGUUAAUGAUCGCUGAUGUUUUUCUUUCAACAUUUCAUUUUGUGGUUUUGUAAGAGGGUUGUUGGGUGAUAAACUGAUAAAGACUUUGCAGGUCCAAAGUUUUGUUCGAGUUCAUACUCAUAAUUGAUUAUAUAUUCAAAAUAACAAAUAAUUAUUUUAUUUUCUAUUAGUAAGCUGAAUGAUAGGAAGAGGCUCACAUUUUGGACAAUUUUCUGAAUAUAUAGCCUCCCAGAUCCUCCUGGCAGAUGGGCCGGUGUAUCCAGUGUAACGUUCGGGGUUCAAUAAGAGAUUUACGUAUGUCAUCUCACCUGCAGAAAACAAAGUACAACUUUAUAAUUUUCACUCAAAUUUAAUCUUUACAUCACAAAAUGCAGAGUGUUAAAACACAAGUCGUGAACUAAAUAAGACGAGUAAAUAUUAUUACUAAGUAUUUAACCUGGUCUCAGUCGUAGAGUUUCUCUUGUUAUUCCAAAUCAUGUAUAUGAAAUUCACGUUAAUAUAUAUCCCACUACUUAUUUAUCAAAAAGACUAGUAGUCCAUACAUGUUUUCAUAUAGGGUACAUAUUUAGAUUGAAGAUCAAUUGAUUUAGUCAGUAAACACAAAAAGCAUGAGACAUGAAAUUAAGAAAGAUCUUUAAGUACCAUUAUCAGUUUCAUCAUCACUGGUCCAUGGAUUAUCUAUCUCCACCCAGCCUUUGAAAACUUUGGAGUCCAGUGUGCGAUCAACAGUACCCUGGGGUUUUCCCUCUUGACAUACCAAAUGAUCAGAUGAAAGACUACGAUAUGAUGGCUUCUUAAAUGACUCGGGAAAUUCAUUAUCGGGACAUUCACAGACACUGCAAUCACGUAACCGGCACAUACCAUCAUCAGGCCAGAAGGGACAGUCACACCAUAGUUUAACCUGAGGAAGAAAGAAGUUCUAUAAGAAUCAUAAAACGACAUAACACAAAGUGCUUUUGCUAAACAGCUAAGGGCACUUAAUAAAUGGCAUAACUUAGACCUUUAAAGAGUUAAGUUUUCCCUUUGAAUUGCACGUUAGUUUUAUGGAUAACAGCAAUAUGAACUUAUCGAAUGCAAAACAAUGUAAUUUCCUUUGGUACCUUACCAAGCUUAUCCGAAGGUGCAUAUCAUGUUGAUAGAAACUAUAAGGUUGCGUUCAGUUAGAUGGAAUGGAUUGAGGGGAGAAUGGAACUAUAAAGAAAUUUUAUGGAGAAAGAAGAGUGUAUGAGAAAAUAGUGACUAAAUAUGAGUGAGUCUAAAUUUUUUUAUGAUGAAGAUUGUAAGGAAAAAUGAUGAAAAAGUGGAAUGAGCAUUCCUUCCAAAACAUGGGUUAGAUUUCUAAUUCAAAUUAUUUCAAAUGAAAUGAUUGAAGGAAUAAAUAUUAUAUACAUUUUAUUCAAUCACCCCUAGUACAAAUUUCAUUUCAUUCUCCCACCAUAUCAUAUCAUCCAAGUGAACGCAGCCUAAGUCUAUAAAACUAAUACUUUUCAGCAGUGGCUUAUAACAAAUAGGAUGUUUAAAGACAAUAAUAGAUCAAUCAUGUCAAACCACCGAAGAAGUGCUGGCCUAAUUGAAAUUUAAAUAUGUACCAGACCUUAAAGUAUCGGAAGAAUGGAGUAGUAACGAGCUUUUGUAACAAAGGGUUCAACACUGCACCAUUAAUAUUAUCUACAGUCUCAUAAUCACAACAACAGUCCUCAAUUAUGCCAGAAUACUUGUGAGAACCCUGCACGAAGAAAAACAGAUAUAUAUGAGACAAAGAAUCAACACACACACAGGGAGACCUUGUCAAGAUCCUUUAAGUUCUAGAAGUGUGUUCAUUAUGAAUGCAAAUUAACACAGCCAAAUGCCAAGUCAAUAAUUGAAGCGCAGGCAGAAAAUUCAGAAGGAACCGACCCCAGUGUCUUGAUCAAAGAAAUAACAGAAAAGAAAAAUAACCAAGAAAAAUGAUUUCAUUUUAUACAAAUAGCAAAGCAAAUUCAUAGAUUCAACAAGAUUCAACAGCAUAUAGAAGAAUUUAAGUUUCUUGAUUUUUAAGUUUCCUUUCUCUCUAACAUAAAUUGAAAUGUUUCACCUGCUUCUCGCAACACCACAGUUCCCUAAGUAAUAACUACUCGAUCCGUUUUUAAGAAUAAAAGAAACUAGAGUAUAAUAGGACUAAGAUCACAAGUGGAAAUCAUCACCCAAAUCCCCAUAUUCUUCAAAAACUAAUGCAUUGGCAAAUUCAGAACAUACCCACAUACAAAAACAGGACAUACAAAAUGGGGGCACAAUUUAAUUAUUAGAAAUAAAACACUCAAAAAAACAAGAAAUGGAAGGAGAAAGAACCUGGGAACAGCUGCAGAUCUUGUGAUUAUUGAGAAAAGUAGAAAUCUUGUGAGAAUGUGGAGAAUUCAUUGCACUAGCAGCUAAAACCACAAGAAAAGCCCCAAUCACAAAACCCCAUUUCAAUCUCCCAGUAUUUUCAUUCUUCUUCACCUUCUUCCCCACCUCUGCUUCCACCAUUGAUAAUUCUAUAUCUAUCAAUUUUUCAACCUAAUUUCAACCCAAAUUAGCCCCUUUUAGGCUUCUAUAUAUAAACCCUAAAUUGCUACAUAAAUAAUUUAUAAUUCAAAUGCAUUUAUGAUGGUAGGUUUGAAAUCUCGGUUACAUCUUUGAUUUGUCAAGCGUACCAACGACCGGAGAACUCACAAAGUUCGUGGAAUGACGUAGAGACUUACGCGCUUUUGGGAGAGCGUGUGAGCCGCGAGGAAGUUGGCAAUAGCGCGUGGGUGUUAGCGUGGGAUGGUGCGAAUGGGUGGAGGAGUGUCCGAAGAGGAUCUGGUUAUUGGAUUUUGCGCGCCGCAGGUGAAUAUGUGUGACGCUCUCUUGACCAAUCACAACGUUUUCUUGAGCUGACUCAUUUCCUUUUUUUGUUUAUUACUGCUUUUUACUGGUUUUAAAGUUUAUUGUCGAAACAUGGACUGAUUAUGGCUUAACUCGGUGAUAAAUCUCCAUAACUCGUCUUAAAUUCUGAUUAAUUCCUGAUCAAUCCCACUAAUACCCAAUCAAUUCAAUUAAUUCUGAACCAAUUCAAUCAAUUUCUAAUUAAUUUUUAUUCUCUAAUUUUAUCGAUUAAGUUUGAAUUUCUCUUUUUACAACACUACUUCUAAUGCACGAUAACAUUUUUUUUUUAAUGUUAAACCGGUGUUCGGGCCAGGUUACGCGCAUCUCGACUAAUCCGGUUAGUCUACCAGCACACUCAUACUCCCGACGUAAUAACUUAUUUUACCCGCUUCUGAGUUAUAAGUCGUAACCAAUUUAUUCAGAUGCAUGAUAUUGAAUAUUUAUAUAAAAAAGUUAUUAAUAACUUAUAAAUCAGAAUAUGAGAAAUUGGGGGAAAAAAUUACUUCUUUCUUAAACUUGUUUUUUUUAAAGAAACUUUUCAAAAAUAUAAAGAAUCAUUUUUAAAGUAAUUAUAAUAUUUAUUAUUAAAAUAAUAAUUCAUAUGCCUAAUAAUUUUUAGAUUUCUAAACAUAAAAGUUAAAAGUUAUUUUUUGGUUAUAAAUAAUUUUUAACUUAUAUUUAAUAAAUGCUUCUGUUAGGUUAAAACACAAGUACCAUAAUGAGCUUUCAAUUUAUAAGUCAGAAUUAGUUUAUUCGUACUGUUGGUGAUCUGAAAAAUUAAAAAUCCUAACUUCGAUCUCCUUUCUUUUAAAAUUUGAUAUGACAAAAGAAUAUUUUUAAAAAUAGUUUAUAAUAUUUUUCAUUAUUAUAUUAACAGUUUUUAUACUAAUAAGUUGCAAAUGUCAAAAACUUAUCAAAACAAAUAAACUAAAAAUUAAUUUCCGCUUGAAAGAAACUUCUCAAUUAUAAGUAAUAAGUACUUAUUUUAAAGCAAGUCAAACGUCCGUGAUAUAUUUUGAAUUUUAUUAUUUAAACUUCAUUUUUACAAAAUAAACGGAUUCUAAUUUAUAAAUUCAGGAGUGAGUUGGGCUUAUAGGACCGGAGUAGCGCCUGAUACGAUCAAAACUAACAUGGCUUGAUAGAUUGGGACCUUCGUUGAUAUAGGCCUUGGAUCCAGUAUUUAUAAGAUCGCACACAAUCGAAUAUGUACCUAUGUCCAAGUCCAUAAUCAAAUAUACAAACAUCCAAGUUACAGGACUGAGCCCAAUUUGAAUUGAAAGGUUCGGACCAUUCUUAAUCUAACUGACGUCAAAUGUUAGAAUAUCUCUUCUAAACCCCUUAAAUAUAAUAUAAAAUAGAGUAAAGUUCACCAUUUUUAUUGGAGACCAUGGAGACCACUUAUGUUCUGCAAUCAAAACACUAUAAAAUACAUUAUUUUGUGAAGUAUGUUCAACAAAUAUCAUGUAUUCAUUCAAAUUGCUAAAAAUCAUAUAUGUUUCAUAUGUAUAUAAUGUAUGUUCUGCAAGUUGAACAAUGUCCUGCAAACUAAAUAUAUUUCGUAGAAUAUAACAUUUUGUAAUGUUCUACAUGCGAAACUUAUAUGAUAUUCAAGAUUUUAAAGUGAAAUAACGAUUUUGUACAACAUGAUGUGCAAAACUAUACGUUUUGCAAUGUUUUUAUGCAAUAUUUCACUUGCAGAACAUCAGUGGUCUCCACAGUCUACAAUAAAAAUGGUCUCCAUAGAACUUUACUCAUAUGAUAUCAUAUAUUUAAAAAUUUCAAUUUUAACAAUACUUUUUAUAUUACUUAAAAAAAACAAUACUUUUUAUAUAUUUUUCACUUUAUAUUUUAUUAGUAUAUGAACUACAAAAGAAGGAAAUGUAAAUGGUCCUUCCACCGCUUAGGACCGAUUUGCGCUUUUCACAAUAUUGUCUCUAUAAUAUUAUCUAUAAUAUUAUAAAACUAUAUUUAUAGAGUCUCGCAUGUCAAAAAAUAAUGUAAAAAACUUGCAGGGACAGAGAGAGUAUUAAUGAUUGAUCAUAAAAUAAUUUUUAAUAAUUAAAAUAUACAAUAAAUAUUACUCUCUCUGCAGAGAGUAUUAAUGAAUGAUCAUAAAAUAAUAUUUUUAAUAAUUAAAAUAGAUAAUAAAUAUUACUCUCUCUCCUCGGAUUGUUUAUACAAUACUUUGACACCUAUUUUCAAAGAAAAACGUUAGGUACCCAAAAAUUAUCUCAAAUUUUUUUUAACGAUGUGUUCUGAUUGACUACAUUCACUCCAAUAACAAUGAGGUCCCUCUUGUAUAUACAUCAAUCACCUAAUCACAAUUUUCCACUUAUUUGUCACAUCAUUUGGUAAAAAAAAUGGAAUUUUUUUGAGAUACCUAACAUUAAAUUUUAAUAAAAUGUAAAUUCACAACUUAUUUUAUUUUUAAAUAUAAUACCAGUAUUUAAAAUACAAAUAUUUGUAAAAUAAGAUAUGAAAUUAUAUUUUAAAUAUAUGCCAAUCCUAAAUAUCGUAAAAACAUGAUAUAAAAGGAUGAAUCGAGUGCCAUGAUCGAAUUAUCACCAGCAAUCCAACACAUAUUUACCUAGCUGAUCUGCACAUGCUCUUAUAAACAUGUACCACAUGUUUUCACCAAAAUACAUACCCAAAUGUAUGCAGGUGAGUGUGGGUGCAAGUAGGAUGAUAGUGGGAUCUCACCACAGUGAGUAUCCUCAAGCUCCCACUUGUCAAUGUUACAACAUGGGAUGUCUUAAUUUUUAAGACUCAAUGUUUAAUUAUUCCAUCCAGAGAUUACAUCCCUUGUUGGAACUCAUAUUUUAUCAACUUCAACUAGACUUUUCUAAUCAUCUAACUCGACGGCAUCUUCUCUUCUGCUAAUCAUGGCUAAUUGUCUUCUUCAUAUAUUUUCAUUUGAGUAGGCCACCAGACAAUCACAACUUACAUCCAACAUAUAAUAAUGCAAUUUAUAUAUGUUGUUUAUAUAAAUAAAUGGCAUUGAGGUCGGCAUGUUGCUAAAUACACUUCACUUUUGCUUUGUGCAGUUCAUAGGAUUACUAAUACGGUUUUUUUGUGGUGUGCCUAUGGGCACACAAUAACCACUAAAUUUUAUGAGUUUGGUGCAUCUAAUCAUAAAUAAGGAUGACCUUGCAUUUACACCAAGUCCACCAAUCAAAAUCCACUAAACUCCUCAAAUUUAGUGUAUAAUGUGUGCUCAUGGGCACACACUAGAAAAAUCCUUACCAAUAUAUCCUUCAUUCCUUCCUAAAGUUUUAUGCUAUAUAAAAUUAAAUUCAGCCAUAGUUUUUCGUGUACGUGAACAAGAUGAAUGCAUGCAAUAAAUACAUCUAUACACUAUCUAACAAUAUAUUUAAUUAUCUUUUUCAAUCUAUAAGUGUUUACUAAUCAUUUAUUAAUAUAUGUUGAUUAUAUCUUUUAUUGGUUUUUGUUAAAACAUUGCUUAUUCAUUCUCAACUUUAAUUUAAAUAACUUAAAAUUUUGAGGCUAUAUUAGAUAAUAUUUGAUAUUUUUAUAUUAUAACUUUUAACUGGCCUAGAACCUUUAAUAUGUAUUAAGAAAAUAGAAAGAUAAUUUAUAUAUAUAAUAGUUAUUCAUAUAAUUUUAUUUGACUAUAUAUAUAUAUAAUUUUAUCACUAAAAUAUGUGAUUAUAUAUAUAAUUUUAUCCACCUCUUUGAUUUUUUAUCGAUGUGUUAGUUUUUUUUUACUUUCUCAUUUAAUCGAAAAAACUUAAAAUUUUGAGACUAUACUGUUAGGGCCUGGACAGAUAAUUGGGAUGGGCUAAAAUCCCAAUAACAAAAAAUUUAGAAAGUUAACAGUUUCUUACUUUAUAUAUAUUUUAUAAUCGAAUUAAAAUCUAAACAUUUUAAAAUUAAAAAAAAGAAGUAAGAAACUGUUUUAAGUUUACUCUGCAGUUGUACUAACGGAUGCUACAAAUAUACAUGAUUUUAUUACUUGAGAGUCCAAACACAUUGUAAUCCCCAAAAAUAUUUUGAACGCAUUUAAUAAGUUAAGGUUAUACUUGUAAUCUCUGCGAAGUGCACCAAGUAGAUAUGAACUGUAUUUAGCAACACCCUUUAAGUUUCAUCAAAUAAUUAAAGACCUCGCAAAUAAUUCGAUUUAUUUUUUUUUUAAAUUUUCUUAAAUCUUUAAAUUGUAAAUAUGAAGACCGAAACUAUUAACAAAAUUUUGUAAUACCAAAUUAUAUAUAAAUAUUAAUAUUUUGAUGUAACGUUUCUCACAUAAUUUUGAUCUUUUUUUAAAUUUUUUGAAUUUAAAUAUAAAAGAUAAAAUUUAUUUUUUUAGGAAUGAAAAUAAUAUUAUUUUCAUUCCUUUUUUUUUACUUCAAAAAAAAAAAAGGAAUGAAAAUAAUAUAUGGGGCCUGGGGUUGUAAUUUUACUGCGUGCGAUGACAUCAAAAAGAAUUAAAUUAAAUUUAUUUAAUAACUAAUGUUCAUUUAAAAUUUAUUUUGGACUUUUAUUUAAUCAUUUGUCUAUAUAUAAUAAAUGACAUGAAUUAUAAAAUAUUUAAUUUGAUAACAAAGGUUAAAGUUAGGAACAUUUCCAUGUCCUCCUAUCGACUCUACUAAAAGAUGGAAAUUGUAUUUUGGGGAGUCUGAAGUCUGAACUUUGAAGACUAUUCGCAUUUUAUUCAGGUUUCUCGUGAUGGCAUGCCACUGCGCGUCAGCUUGUAUGAGAUGAACUGAGAUUACCCAAGCUAGUUUAUCAAGUAUUGGAUUCAUCUUGCUCCGAUCUCUAAAGUUUUCCCUGAUAUGAAGAGUGAUUUCUGCUGUUUUAUAGGAUAAUACUCAGUGGACUAUUUUCUGUUUAAUAUUACUGCCAUGAUAUUGUUAUCAAGGACAAAAUAAAAAUAUUUCGCGAAGCAGAUUAAAAACCAAAAUCAUAUAUACAUCUAAACUCAUCCGCUGCCCAGUAUUAUACUCAUUGAAAAUUAGAGAGUGUGCUUAUUUUUCUACAUAAGAACUGAGGUGAAAAAACAAAUGACAACCACUGUUUCCCCUACCAAUAAUAAAAUGUAGAAGAACAGGGUUAAUUGAAGCUUCUGAAUGACUCAGCUGUAUCAUGGUCUAUAAAAUAUAGAAACUGAGUAAUCAUCCUUGGUUUCUCACAAAAUCAGCACAGCAUCUUGUCUUGUUAUUUACUUGCUUGAUAACUGGAAAGAGGAGGAAAGGCUUCGGAUGACCAUCUCAUUCUCUUCCUCGUCGAUAGUGGCCAUUUUCUCCAUUGGUCGCCUAACAAGGGAAAUGAAAUGUGGUGGAAUAACUUCCGUCACAACCCUCAUUUUUGGUACAUUAGUCAUCGCAGAUUCUAAGACUGAUGGGAGAUGCUGGAAGCUAGAAACGACGGGUGUUUAUGAGUUAUUAGAACGAGGGGGAAAUGAAAUGUAAAGAUACUGAGGAGCCAUAAGGUUUAUUUAUAGGGUGAGAAAGGAAAGUAGAAAUGCCUGGUACAUUAGUUUGCUGCAAAGUAAUGAAGUGUAUUGCCGACCUUUGGCUUGUGAUAAAAUUGAUGGAAUGUGUCAUGUCAGCGACAAAAACAAAAACACGUGUAGCUACUACAACGCCAUCACUCGUCUACUUGCCCAAACGUGUCAGACAUCUUGUGGAAAUAGAUAUUUGAUUCGUCGUAUGCACACUGCUGUAAUAAAUAUCAGUAGAAAUAUCUGCCCAACAGAUAUUUCGUACAACGUUGGAGCACUUGUAGAAAGCAGAGAUGGGUAUCAUGGGCACCAUGAAUGCAAAAAGCCUUUUGUGGUAGCUCAUUCAUAAGCACCAAGUGGUGAAUUGCAACUUGUUAGCAUACAAGUUAAAAACCAAUUCACGGCAGUGCUCUAUCCACGUUGUAACUUUUUGUAUGAACCUCCAGAUUCCAGAAAUUUGGCUACAGCUUCUGGUCCCUAGUCAUGAGUGCUCGACUCGAUUGACCAAUUCAAAUGUGGUCGAUUAACUGUCAGUAGAGCCUCUUUGUAAUGUUAACCUAUAUCCUCAGGCUUGUUCUUUUGCACCUUAUUAGUAGCCAUGAUAAUUCAAUUUAUUUCCGGGGCCUUUCGAGUUUGGGAAGCAUUUUUGUAGUUGCUCGAUCUUUUCUUUCCAGACUGUCAACAUAAACAAAAAAAAUAUAUAAUCAUUCAUCACUCAUUUUCCACAGCUCUUCCUCCCAUAUGCUAGCAGGUCAUUACCAGCCUAUUAUUCCCCUCUCGUUUCUUUCUAUUGAGUAAAUUUAUUAUUAAAUAUAAAUUGAUCCCACCACUUUACUCACUUUUCAUCUAAUUUACUCAUUUUUUAUACAUUUAUCCAAAUUCAAUGUAUAUAAUUCAACGGGAUAGAGGGAGUAGCAACUCUCAGCUAAAUUAUGGUCGGUAUAAAAGAUAGAAACCGAAGAAUGGAACUUGUGUCCUAAAAGAAAAUCAACAAAUAUAGCAUGCAGGCCAGGAGAUUGUAACCGUAAACUGCUUGGCCUUGUUUAUUAUCUCGAAUUCUCGAUAUAUAGAUAGAGCCACAUUUCCUAGUCCAUCAAGUUAUUUCGCUGAGAUUGUAACUUAUGGUUGGAUGGCGUUCUUUUGUUAUACAGGACUGUAAUACAUAGCUAAUUUCGUGGACCACCGGGAAAAGAGAAGUAGAACAGCAUAGCAGAGACCAUACAUACAGGAGAUUAAAAACCAAAUCAUCAUUAUUUAUAAACUCAUCCACUGCCUACUAGGAUGUCGAAGAACAUUACAAAAUGUGCUUAAUUAUCUACGAAAGAACUGAGAUACAGAAACAAAUCACAACCACGGUUCCCCUAUCAAUUAAGAAAUGUAGACGGGAAGGGUUAAAUGGAGCUUCUCAUGACUCAGGUACAACAUGGCCUACAAAAUUUAGAAACUAUAUAGUCUGACAUAUUUGUAGUCACAUGAAACUAACAAGGUGGUUGCAACAGCAAACCGCUGCUUGUUAUUUACUUUGUUGAUAUUUGGAGAAAGGCGGAGAGGCUUCCGAUUCCCAUCUCAGUCUCUUUCUCGUCGAUGGUGGCCAUUUUCUCCAUGGGCCGCCUGAUAAGGGAGAUGAAUUGCGGUGGAAUAACUUCUGUCACCACUCUCAUUUUGGGCACAUUAGUCAUUGCAGAUUUCUAUGGAAAAAGGAAAUGCUGGAAGCUGAAAAUGAUGUAUCUUAUGAGUUUAGGAGGAAUGAAUUGUAAAGAUACUAAGGAACAAUACUUGUGAGGCUUAUUUAUACAAGUGAGAAAGUAUUUGCCUGCUAGUCUGCUACUUACGUUGCAGCUGCUGAGUCAAAUUGAUGGAUUUUGUCCGUGUCCAAAAAACGCGUAUAGCUACCAAGUACCGGUACAGUCCACUUGCAUGAAUGCUUUAUAAGAAUGAAAAAGGGGGCACUACAUCUUUCGGAAAGAGAUUCGGUUCAUGGUAUGUUAGGUUUCUUGUCUGUAUAGCAGAUAUUUUGAUAUACAGAGGAAAGGUGGUCUCAUGGCCUCAAGUGCAUCGACCUUUUGUGCGGAUUCAUCUGAACCAAAUAGCAGGGCUGCAACUUGGUAGCAUACAAUUUUAGAACCAUUUAAUAGCAGUGCUCCUGUCCACAGUUCAACUUGUUGUAAGAAUCAUGAGAUUCAAGAGAUAUCACCCUAGAUUCUGGUCCUCCUUUACGUCCGGACUGAUACAUGAUAGUAAAGGGUCGAAUAAUAUAUGAUCUUAAUAAAUCUUUUUUCUAACGUCUUAAGAUUUUAAAUUAAUUGAUUACUUAAUACGGUAUAAUAAAGAGUUGGGUAUUACUAGUGUUUAGAAACAUUUGAAGGACAUGGCACAAGGUUAAAAAUCAUUUCGUGGUGAUUUUUCAAUAUUUUGACUUCUAUAAAUCCAAAUUUGGUCGAUUAUUAAAUUACAAAAUAUACACCGCUGCCUUUUUGGCCACCCCCUUGCUUCCAGUAUCAGCAAAUGAUUGUGAAUUGCAGUGAAUAUAACUUUUGCCUAAUAUGAUGUAAAAGGUUAUAGUUAUAAUUUUGCGUAAUACUGGCAAAAGGAUGGUUACAUUUCUGGCAAGAUGCAUUACAUAGAACAUACAGCAAAGCACGAUCCAAUAUCCAUACAUAAUAUACAAAACCAAGACUAUCAUAAAUAUAAACUCAUCCACUGCCACUAGUAUAUAAAAACUUAGGUGUUCUUAUUAUGCUACAAA
rnacentral:lncRNA from 1 species